rnacentral:lncRNA from 1 species
GGGUUUAGAGAGAGAGAUGCAUGAAUAGGGUUUUGUGUGAGGUUUUGAUGAUUUUGUGCAUAGAGCUUGUUUCUGUGUUGUUUGUGUUGUGUUUUUGGGGUUUUAAGGUAGUUUUUGACCCCUUUGAGCAUAUACAUGAGUGUAUGCAAGUUGAGGAAGUGUGGUAUGAAGUUGGAGGGGAGUUUGGUGCAUUUGGCGAGAGGCAGGGCAAGUUUCUGCCCUGCUGAUGAACUCAGGU